GGGUGAGUAACACGUAUCCAACCUGCCGUCUACUCUUGGACAGCCUUCUGAAAGGAAGAUUAAUACAAGAUGGCAUCAUGAGUCCACAUGUUCACAUGAUUAAAGGUAUUCCGGUAGACGAUGGGGAUGCGUUCCAUUAGAUAGUAGGCGGGGUAACGGCCCACCUAGUCUUCGAUGGAUAGGGGUUCUGAGAGGAAGGUCCCCCACAUUGGAACUGAGACACGGUCCAAACUCCUACGGGAGGCAGCAGUGAGGAAUAUUGGUCAAUGGGCGAGAGCCUGAACCAGCCAAGUAGCGUGAAGGAUGACUGCCCUAUGGGUUGUAAACUUCUUUUAUAAAGGAAUAAAGUCGGGUAUGCAUACCCGUUUGCAUGUACUUUAUGAAUAAGGAUCGGCUAACUCCGUGCCAGCAGCCGCGGUAAUACGGAGGAUCCGAGCGUUAUCCGGAUUUAUUGGGUUUAAAGGGAGCGUAGAUGGAUGUUUAAGUCAGUUGUGAAAGUUUGCGGCUCAACCGUAAAAUUGCAGUUGAUACUGGAUAUCUUGAGUGCAGUUGAGGCAGGCGGAAUUCGUGGUGUAGCGGUGAAAUGCUUAGAUAUCACGAAGAGCUCCGAUUGCGAAGGCAGCCUGCUAAGCUGCAACUGACAUUGAGGCUCGAAAGUGUGGGUAUCAAACAGGAUUAGAUACCCUGGUAGUCCACACGGUAAACGAUGAAUACUCGCUGUUUGCGAUAUACAGCAAGCGGCCAAG
rnacentral:rRNA from 1 species